ACGCUCGACACCUACUGGAGGCAGCAGUGGGGAAUAUUGCACAAUGGGGGAAACCCUGAUGCAGCGACGCCGCGUGGAGGAAGAAGGUCUUCGGAUUGUAAACUCCUGUUGUUGGGGAAAAAGAGGAUGGUACCCAACAAGGAAGUGACGGCUAACUACGUGCUAGCAGCCGCGGUAAUCUGAGCGGGCUGGCAAGGC
rnacentral:rRNA from 1 species